rnacentral:lncRNA from 1 species
UUAAAAUUUAAGGUGGGAAAAUAUACUCUCCCAUUUUUCUAGUGAACCACUUUGAUGCACUAAGUUUUAUUCCAUUCUUUCUAACACGAAAUGCUUCUCUUGUUCCCCUAUGGGUUUCUAUGAUCUUCUUUUCAAGGAUAAUAUCUUCCAGUAGCAGAGUCUCAUUGUUGGUGUGUAAAUCCUCUAAUGAAGGCCUAACUUCUCCAAAUUCGUCAUCUAACAUGGAUGGUUCAAAUGGUUUUAGAUUUUCAACAUUGACUAUAGAGUAUAUUUUUAUGUAGCUAGGUAAAUUCUAGUUGAUAUGCAUUAUCACAAAUCUUUUUAAGGACCUUAAAAGGACCAUAACGAAUAGGCUUCAAUUUGCCUUCUCUUUUUAACCUCUCAUUUCCCAAGUGUAGCCAUAUUAAAUCUCCCA